rnacentral:rRNA from 1 species
AAGGCACAUGAAGGAUGCCUGGGCUCUCGGAGGCGAUGAAGGACGUGAUAAGCUGCGAUAAGCUGCGGGAAGGAGCAAAUAUCCCUUGAUCCGCAGAUUUCCGAAUGGGGCAACCCACUGCCCGAACAGGCAGUAUCUUCCGAAUGGAAGAAGCGAACUUGGGGAACUGAAACAUCUCAGUACCCAAAGGAAAAGAAAAUAACCCAAUGAUUGCGCCAGUAGUGGCGAGCGAACGCGCAAGAGCCCAAACCGGCGGUGUUCAGGCACUGACCGGGGUUGUAGGACCGUCAGCAAAUGGACAGUUUGAAGUUAGCCGAAGCCUCUGGAAAGGGGCGCCGCAGCGGGUGACAGCCCCGUAGGCGAAAACAGACGACUGACAGAGACGGCACCUGAGUAAGCCGGGACACGAGAAAUCCUGGCCGAAUCCGCGGGACCAUCCCGUAAGGCUAAAUACUACCGAGAGACCGAUAGCGAACCAGUACCGUGAGGGAAAGGUGAAAAGAACCUCGAACAGAGGAGUGAAACAGACCCUGAAAUCAUGUGCCUACAAGCGGUCGGAGCUGCUCAGUGCAGUGACGGCGUGCCUUUUGCAUAAUGAACCUACGAGUUACCGUCGUUGGCGAGGCUAAGUCCACGAUGGACGGAGCCGAAGCGAAAGCGAGUCAGAAUAUGGCGCGAUAUAGUCAGCGGCGGUAGACGCGAAACCAAGUGAUCUACCCUUGGGCAGGUUGAAGGUGGGGUAACACCCACUGGAGGACCGAACCGGUAAGCGUUGAAAAGCUUUCGGAUGACCUGAGGGUAGGAGUGAAAGGCCAAUCAAACUUGGAGAUAGCUCGUACUCCCCGAAAUGCAUUUAGGUGCAGCCUCGGGCGCAGUACCGUGGAGGUAGAGCGACUGAUAGGAUGCGAGGCUUCACCGCUAUCAAGUCCUGACAAACUCCGAAUGCCACGGCACGAUCCCCGGAGUGAGGGCGCGGGUGCUAAGGUCCGCGUCCGAGAGAGGAACAACUCAGACCACCGUCUAAGGCCCCCAAAUCCGGGCUAAGUUGAAGACAAUAACGAGGUGGGAUUGCAAGGACAGCUAGGAUGUUGGCUUGGAAGCAGCCAUUCAUUUAAAGAGUGCGUAACAGCUCACUAGUCGAGUGAUCCGCAUGGAUAAUAAUCGGGCAUAAGUCCGGUGCCGAAGACGUGGAAUCGACGGUCAAACCGUCGAUUGGUAGGGAGCAUUCCGGUAGCCGCAGAAGGUCAGGCGCGAGCCUGGCUGGAGGUCCCGGAAAAGCAAAUGUAGGUAUAAGUAACGACAAAGGGGGCGAGAAACCCCUCGCCGCAAGACCAAGGGUUUCUGAUCAACGCUAAUCGGAUCAGAGUCAGUCGGGACCUAAGGCACAGCCGCAAGGCGCAGCCGAUGGAAGAAACGGUCAACAUUCCGUUACUCCCUUCAGGAGUGACGUGGAGACGGAGAAGUGACACUCCCGCGUGCUGACGGAAUAGCACGUUAAACCGCGUAGGUAUAUCUGAGGCAGGCAAAUCCGCCUCAGAUGCUGAAACGGACAGUACGGAGAGCCCCCGUGGCAAUCCGACAGCGGAGGUAAUCAGGCUCCCAAGAAAAUCCGCUAAACUUAAUCCUGAAGGGACCCGUACCCCAAACCGACACAGGUGGUCGGGUAGAACAUACCAAGGCGCUCGAGAGAUUCACGGUUAAGGAACUAGGCAAAUUGACCCCGUAACUUCGGAUAAGGGGUCCCCUCCUUCGCGGAGGGGCGCAGAGAAUAGGUCCAGGCAACUGUUUAACAAAAACACAGGGCUGUGCGAAAUUGAAAGAUGAAGAAUACAGCCUGACACCUGCCCGGUGCCGGAAGGUUAAGAGGAGAUGUCAUCGCAAGAGAAGCAUUGAAUUGAAGCCCCGGUAAACGGCGGCCGUAACUAUAACGGUCCUAAGGUAGCGAAAUUCCUUGUCGGGUAAGUUCCGACCUGCACGAAUGGUGUAAUGAUCCGGACACUGUCUCAACCGUGAGCUCGGUGAAAUUGUAGUAUCGGUGAAGAUGCCGAUUACCCGCAACGGACGAAAAGACCCGUGAACCUUUACUGCAGCUUAGCACUGUGACCGGGUGUGCGAUGUGUAGGAUAGUCAGGAGACUUUGAAGCGUGACGCCAGUCAUCGUGGAGUCGACGUUGAAAUACUGACCUUUGCACAUCUGGUUUCUAACGCGCAUCGGCGCGGACACUGCUUGGUGGGUAGUUUGACUGGGGUGGUCGCCUCCAAAAGCGUAACGGAGGCUUCUAAAGGUGCGCUCAGGCCGAUUGGUAACCGGCCGCAGAGUGUAAUGGCACAAGCGCGCUUGACUGAGAGACAAACAAGUCGAACAGGUAGGAAACUAGAGCAUAGUGAUCCGGUGGUUCCGCAUGGAAGGGCCAUCGCUCAAAGGAUAAAAGGUACUCCGGGGAUAACAGGCUGAUCCCUCCAAGAGCUCAUAUCGACGGAGUGGUUUGGCACCUCGAUGUCGGCUCGUCACAUCCCGGGGCUGGAAAGGUCCCAAGGGUUAGGCUGUUCGCCUAUUAAAGUGGCACGCGAGCUGGGUUCAGAACGUCGUGAGACAGUUCGGUCUCUAUCUGUUGUGGGCGCAGGAGAUUUGCGAGGCCCCGACACUAGUACGAGAGGACCGUGUUGGACCGACCUCCGGUUUACCGGUUGUUCGCCAGGAGCACCGCCGGGUAGCCGCGUCGGGUAAGGAUAAGUGCUGAAAGCAUCUAAGCACGAAGCCCCCCUCAAGAUAAGAUCUCCACAUAAGGGCCGUUUAAGACGAAGACGUAGAUAGGUCGCAGGUGCAGGUGCGGUAACGUACACAGCCGAGCGAUACUAAUCGCCCAAACCCUUUCUU